UCAUCUUCCUUCUUUCU
rnacentral:miRNA from 1 species